rnacentral:rRNA from 1 species
AUUGAACGCUGGCGGCAGGCCUAACACAUGCAAGUCGAACGAGUGGCGGACGGGUGAGUAAUGUCUGGGAAACUGCCUGAUGGAGGGGGAUAACUACUGGAAACGGUAGCUAAUACCGCAUACCAUCAGAUGUGCCCAGAUGGGAUUAGCUUGUGGGUGGGGUAACGGCUAAUCAAGGCGACGAUCCCUAGCUGGUCUGAGAGGAUGACCAGCAACACUGGAACUGAGAAACGGUCCAGACUCCUACGGGAGGCAGCAGUGGGGAAUAUUGCACAAUGGGCAAAAGCCUGAUGCAGCCAUGCCGCGUGUAUGAAGAAGGCUUUCGGGUUGUAAAGUACUUUCAGCGGGGAGGCGUUACCCGAAGAGGAAGCAACGGCUAACUCCGUGCCAGCAGCCGCGGUAAUAC